AAAGUGGUGAUCCUAACUGACCUAAGACAGGGAAUUUUUACUGGGAUUAAAUGUCAGGAAUUGUGAAAAACUGAGUUUAAAUGUAUUUGGCUAAGGUGUACGUAAACUUCCAACUACAACUGUAUACAGUCUCCUGGUUUUUAUGACAAUCAAACUUAUUAGAAUGUUUUUAAUUAUAACCAGGAUGGUGAAUCAAAUGUAUUACAAUGAUUCACCAGCCUGGUUUUUUAUUAAAAACCAAACUUAUUAGAAUGGUUCACCUUCCUGGUUUUAUGGUGACAACGUCCGUGGUGAGAAUGCAAUGCGACUUAUGGAGAUGUGUGAAUGAGAUCUGAUCUGAUAGAUAGUUCUGAAACACAGGCCAAUCGGGGAACUGGAUAACAGUUAGUGGAUAAAACACAGGCCUAUCGGGGAGCUGGAUAACAGGCCUAUCGGGGAGCUGGAUAACAGGCCUAUCGGGGAGCUGGAUAACAGGCCUAUCGGGGAGCUGGAUAACAGGCCUAUCGGGGAGCUGGAUAACAGGCCUAUCGGGGAGCUGGAUAACAGGUAGUGGAUAAAACACAGGCCUAUCGGGGAGCUGGAUAACAGUUAGUGGAUAAAACACAGGCCUAUCGGGGAGCUGGAUAACAGGCCUAUCGGGGAGCUGGAUAACAGGCCUAUCGGGGAGCUGGAUAACAGGUAGUGGAUAAAACACAGGCCUAUCGGGGAGCUGGAUAACAGUUAGUGGAUAAAACACAGGCCUAUCGGGGAGCUGGAUAACAGUUAGUGGAUAAAACACAGGCCUAUCGGGGAGCUGGAUAACAGGCCUAUCAGGGAGCUGGAUAACAGGCCUAUCAGGGAGCUGGAUAACAGGUAGUGGAUAAAACACAGGCCAAUCAGGGAGCUGGAUAACAGUUAGUGGAUAAAACACAGGCCAAUCGGGGAACUGGAUAACAGUUAGUGGAUAAAACACAGGCCUAUCGGGGAGCUGGAUAACAGUUAGUGGAUAAAACACAGGCCAAUCGGGGAGCUGGAUAACAGGUAGUGGAUAAAACACAGGCCUAUCAGGGAGCUGGAUAACAGUUACUGGAUAAAACACAGGCCAAUCGGGGAGCAGGAUAACAGUUAGUGGAUAAAACACAGGCCUAUCAGGGAGCUGGAUAACAGUUAGUGGAUAAAACACAGGCCAAUCGGGGAGCUGGAUAACAGUUAGUGGAUAAAACACAGGCCUAUCAGGGAGCUGGAUAACAGUUAGUGGAUAAAACACAGGCCAAUCGGGGAGCUGGAUAACAGUUAGUGGAUAAAACACAGGCCUAUCGGGGAGCUGGAUAACAGUUAGUGGAUAAAACACAGGCCUAUCGGGGAGCUGGAUAACAGUUAGUGGAUAAAACACAGGCCAAUCGGGGAGCUGGAUAACAGGUAGUGGAUAAAACACAGGCCUAUCAGGGAGCUGGAUAACAGUUAGUGGAUAAAACACAGGCCAAUCGGGGAGCUGGAUAACAGGUAGUGGAUAAAACACAGGCCAAUCGGGGAGCUGGAUAACAGGCCUAUCAGGGAGCUGGAUAACAGUUAGUGGAUAAAACACAGGCCUAUCGGGGAGCUGGAUAACAGGCCUAUCGGGGAGCAGGAUAACAUUUAGUGGAUAAAACACAGGCCUAUCGGGGAGCAGUAUAACAGUUAGUGGAUAAAACACAGGCCUAUCAGGGAGCAGUAUAACAGGCCUAUCGGGGAGCAGUAUAACAGUUAGUGGAUAAAACACAGGCCUAUCAGGGAGCUGGAUAACAGUUAGUGGAUAAAACACAGGCCUAUCAGGGAGCAGUAUAACAGUUAGUGGAUAAAACACAGGCCUAUCGGGGAGCUGGAUAACAGGCCUAUCAGGGAGCUGGAUAACAGUUAGUGGAUAAAACACAGGCCUAUCGGGGAGCUGGAUAACAGGCCUAUCGGGGAGCAGGAUAACAUUUAGUGGAUAAAACACAGGCCUAUCGGGGAGCAGUAUAACAGUUAGUGGAUAAAACACAGGCCUAUCAGGGAGCAGUAUAACAGGCCUAUCGGGGAGCAGUAUAACAGUUAGUGGAUAAAACACAGGCCUAUCAGGGAGCUGGAUAACAGUUAGUGGAUAAAACACAGGCCUAUCAGGGAGCAGUAUAACAGUUAGUGGAUAAAACACAGGCCUAUCGGGGAGCUGGAUAACAGGCCUAUCAGGGAGCUGGAUAACAGUUAGUGGAUAAAACACAGGCCAAUCAGGGAGCUGGAUAACAGUUAGUGGAUAAAACACAGGCCUAUCAGGGAGCAGUAUAACAGUUAGUGGAUAAAACACAGGCCUAUCAGGGAGCAGGAUAACAGUUAGUGGAUAAAACACAGGCCUAUCGGGGAGCAGUAUAUCAGGCCUAUCGGGGAGCAGGAUAACAGUUAGUGGAUAAAACACAGGCCUAUCGGGGAGCUGGAUAACAGGCCUAUCAGGGAGCUGGAUAACAGUUAGUGGAUAAAACACAGGCCAAUCAGGGAGCUGGAUAACAGUUAGUGGAUAAAACACAGGCCUAUCAGGGAGCAGUAUAACAGUUAGUGGAUAAAACACAGGCCUAUCAGGGAGCAGGAUAACAGUUAGUGGAUAAAACACAGGCCUAUCAGGGAGCAGUAUAACAGUUAGUGGAUAAAACACAGGCCUAUCAGGGAGCAGUAUAACAGGCCUAUCGGGGAGCAGUAUAACAGUUAGUGGAUAAAACACAGGCCUAUCAGGGAGCAGUAUAACAGUUAGUGGAUAAAACACAGGCCUAUCAGGGAGCAGGAUAACAGUUAGUGGAUAAAACACAGGCCUAUCAGGGAGCAGUAUAACAGUUAGUGGAUAAAACACAGGCCUAUCGGGGAGCUGGAUAACAGUUAGUGGAUAAAACACAGGCCUAUCAGGGAGCUGGAUAACAGGCCUAUCAGGGAGCUGGAUAACAGUUAGUGGAUAAAACACAGGCCUAUCAGGGAGCAGUAUAACAGUUAGUGGAUAAAACACAGGCCUAUCAGGGAGCAGUAUAACAGUUAGUGGAUAAAACACAGGCCUAUCAGGGAGCAGUAUAACAGUUAGUGGAUAAAACACAGGCCUAUCAGGGAGCAGGAUAACAGUUAGUGGAUAAAACACAGGCCUAUCAGGGAGCAGUAUAACAGUUAGUGGAUAAAACACAGGCCUAUCAGGGAGCAGUAUAACAGGCCUAUCGGGGAGCAGUAUAACAGUUAGUGGAUAAAACACAGGCCUAUCAGGGAGCAGUAUAACAGUUAGUGGAUAAAACACAGGCCUAUCAGGGAGCAGGAUAACAGUUAGUGGAUAAAACACAGGCCUAUCAGGGAGCAGUAUAACAGUUAGUGGAUAAAACACAGGCCUAUCGGGGAGCUGGAUAACAGUUAGUGGAUAAAACACAGGCCUAUCAGGGAGCUGGAUAACAGGCCUAUCAGGGAGCUGGAUAACAGUUAGUGGAUAAAACACAGGCCUAUCAGGGAGCAGUAUAACAGGUAGUGGAUAAAACACAGGCCUAUCAGGGAGCAGUAUAACAGGCCUAUCGGGGAGCAGGAUAACAGUUAGUGGAUAAAACACAGGCCUAUCAGGGAGCAGUAUAACAGGCCUAUCGGGGAGCAGGAUAACAGUUAGUGGAUAAAACACAGGCCUAUCAGGGAGCAGUAUAACAGGCCUAUCGGGGAGCAGGAUAACAGUCAGUGGAUAAAACACAGGCCUAUCAGGGAGCAGUAUAACAAGCCUAUCGGGGAGCAGGAUAACAGUUAGUGGAUAAAACACAGGCCUAUCAGGGAGCAGUAUAACAGGCCUAUCGGGGAGCAGUAUAACAGUUAGUGGAUAAAACACAGGCCUAUCGGGGAGCUGGAUAACAGUUAGUGGAUAAAACACAGGCCUAUCAGGGAGCAGUAUAACAGUUAGUGGAUAAAACACAGGCCUAUCAGGGAGCAGUAUAACAGUUAGUGGAUAAAACACAGGCCUAUCAGGGAGCAGUAUAACAGUUAGUGGAUAAAACACAGGCCUAUCAGGGAGCAGUAUAACAGGCCUAUCGGGGAGCAGGAUAACAGUUAGUGGAUAAAACACAGGCCUAUCAGGGAGCAGUAUAACAGUUAGUGGAUAAAACACAGGCCUAUCAGGGAGCAGUAUAACAGUUAGUGGAUAAAACACAGGCCUAUCAGGGAGCAGUAUAGCAGUUAGUGGAUAAAACACAGGCCUAUCAGGGAGCAGUAUAACAGUUAGUGGAUAAAACACAGGCCUAUCAGGGAGCAGUAUAACAGUUAGUGGAUAAAACACAGGCCAAUCGGGGAGCUGGACAACAGUUAGUGGAUAAAACACAGGCCUAUCAGGGAGCUGGAUAACAGGCCUAUCAGGAAGCAGGAUAACAGGUAGUGGACAUUCUCUCUCUUUAUAUUGGAUCUUUGUCCAGCUACUGUGGAUGUGCUGUAAAACCCUCUAUAGUCCUUGUUGUUUAAUAUUAUAUGGCCACGGGGAGAAAUGAUGGCGCCUGUAAGUUUGACACUAUUUCAAACAAGUUGUUGUUUCGUUUUGUUUAGAAUUUGAUUACACUUAUUCCCUCUCUUUUUAGUUUGUCAAUAAUAAUUGUAUUCUUGUUUAUUGACAAUGUUUGGCAUGUCCAUAAUGCAAUUUACAGCAGGCCAUGCCCCUAUAUCAGUAGGAAUGCUAUGUAGGCCAUGCCCCUAUAUCAGUGGGAAUGCUAUGUAGGCCAUGCCUCUACAUCAGUGGGAAUGCUGUGUAGGCCAUGCCUCUACAUCAGUGGGAAUGCUAUGUAGGCCAUGCCCCUAUAUCAGUGGGAAUGCUAUGUAGGCCAUGCCCCU